GUUUGUUGUGACAUUCAGUUUGUACGUUUCGUCCACAAAACCAAAAUACUAUUAGUGUUUUAUUCAGAUGAAUAAUUGAAUACUCUCGGUCGUGAAUCGUGUUAAUAGUCUUAAAAUAAGUCAUUUUUACGAGUUUUAUCACGAGUGAGGCUCGAAGGUUUUCAUGAAAGGUCUCGCCUUAGAGUACUUAAGGGGCUGAACCAGCGAGCAGGAGACACGCAUGCGCACUCACUCACUCACUCACCCUGCGUCACUUCAUCGUAGAGGUUUUGGUUGAGCAUCCUCUCGACAACGAUGGCAGCUUCCAGCAGACCCGGUA